CUUAAGUGGUUUAUCACCCUGAGUUUCGUUGACCAUGGGUGUGACAUGGGCAGUUUUCGUGGAUACACGACUUGGAAGCGAGUCAAUUUCCUUCAAAACUUCCUCGAUGUGUGAGAUGAGUCUUUCCACCAAGCUACGGCUGAAAUCCUCCCUGACAACCACCCGAAGAACCGCCACAUUUUCAGCAUUAGCAGGCAUUGUAUAGGCCGGAACUAUCCACCCAAACUUUCUCAAACCCUCGGAUAUCUCAAACACGGUGUGUGCGCUGCUGUCCUUCAAAGAAAAGGCUACUAAGGGUACGCCAACAUCCUUGGAGAGAAUUUCAAAGCGCCCUGUUUUCUCUAAUCCUUCUCUUAGCGCUCUAGCAUUCCCCAUGCAAUUUUCCAUAAUGUUCUUGUAACCCUAGUUUACAGGACAAGAAAAGGACAUACCUUGAGACUUGAAAUAAAAGUAAAGGUAAUUUCCUGGACAAAUACAGGCCAAAUUGUACAUUUUAUUGAAUAUAUGAGCAGUCAGAAUCAUUUCAAAUCUAGCAAACACUAGUCAGUUUAAUAUCCAAAAAACAUGAGACAACAAGAAAAUUGAUCCCAUCACAACUGAUCGAUUUUGGUGCAUCAGUUCUCAACCUCAUUUUGUCAAUGUCUACCGGUAACAAACUAACUUUAACUGAUGAACUUUAACAAUAUGCCAUAUGAACACUUACAAAUUAACAGGAUUUCAUAGUACAUGCAAAGUGUCAUAAAAGUAGGAGGAAUGUAUCACAAAGAAACUUGAGAGUUUUUUAUGAUCAACACAACAAAAAGAUGGAAUUACCUCAAAGCCAAGCCGUAUAAACUGAUAAUAUUGAGCAAUUAUUUGACUGGAGCCUGCCAAAUAGGAAUGAUUGUCAAUUACAAAAAUACAACUACAAUGGUCGCAAAAAUAUCAAAUUUACAAGUCAUCUUCCAUUCAAUGGAACAACACAAUGUUCUUGUAACAGAUUACUUGACAGAUGCUCUUGUAAAACGAUAUAGGCCCAUUGGUGUGUCUUAGCUCAAACGAAAAACAGUAAGACCUCUAGAAGGUAGUACAGAAUAGUUUAGGUUGAAAUGCAGAUGGUUUGGGUUUCAUUUUAUGCAAUAUUUAAAAAAUAUAUAUAUAUAUUGAGAAUUUAGAGAUUUUUUUAAAAGCAAAAGACAAAUAGCCUUCAAAGCAAACAAUAAAUUUUUUAAAAAGGCAAGUUUUGAGGCUAAAGUCUAUCAAUUGAUAAACAGUGAGAAUAUAGUUAAUGACAUAAUGACUCUUGAUGACAUUAGUUUUGGCAUCACUUCUUAUGAAUUCUUAAAGCUCUAAUUUGAAUUUUCCAUUGAAAAACUCUUCAAACUUCCAUCCAUUUUUUUCAGUAAGUUAUCCUUAGUAUCUGCCCAAUCCUACAACUGUUAACAACCAAUACAGGGGAAAUGUCAUCAAACUAUUUGAAUUUUCCAUUGAAAAACUCUUCUAACUUCCCAUCCAUUUUUUUCAGUAAGUUAUCCUUAGUAAGUAUCUGCCCAAUCCUACAACUAUAACAACCAAUACAGGGGAAAUGUCAUCAAACUCUAAAGCAGCCACCAAAACAGAACGUAAACUUAACCCCCAAGUCCUAAAUCUUAAAACUUUAACCCUAAAAAGAUUCACUGUCCUCUAUGAUUAGCACAAACAGGAGAAAUAACACCCUAAUGAAAUGCUUGAAAACACAAAAGUUUACAAGAUUAUGGGUAAAUGUACACUAACGAGCUUUUGUUCUGGUUUAGGUAAGAUAUACUUAAAAAGUAUGACUUUAAAGUUUGAUAUAGUUUAAAAUUUAAAGUUUAGCUGUAAGAAUAGCCUUGAAUUGUGUGUUUAAAACUUUAAAAUCAUACUUAAAACUUACUUUCCUUCCUAAACCUUAACAAAUGGCCUUGCCCCCGAGCACGUGCCCCUUACCUUCAAUCAUUUUGUCUGUUCCAGCUUUUUAGCUGGGGAUUAGUGGUUGCGUUUGCAAGGCUAUGUUACCGCAUAAAUGUGAUACCACUCAUAGUGGUGGCAGGUUUGAGCUUUCAUUUUAAUAUUGAGGUGGCUGCAUGAUUUAGGGUGUGUGGAUUCCCACUUCUUUAUGCAUGCAUACACAUCUAAUCUGCAAUAAUUUAUAACUAAAGCAUCUAAAAAGAAUUUAAAAUCAUUGUCUGAUAAACACGAACAAGAAGUUAAAUAAAUUGCGUGUGCUCAACUUAAAACAUAUUUUAGCGUUAUAUAGUCAAAAACCAUAUCUUUAUUAUAAACAUGCCUUUUUGAAAAGAUUACACAAAUAAAAAAGCUUGUGAAAAUCACCAAUUGAUCUGUAUGCCAUGGAAAUUCUAGAAACAAGAUGCAAUAUCUACAUAAGUGCUUCACAUAUUAGAAAAUAAAAUCCGAGUUAUCUAGUAGCAAAAUUAUCCUUUAAACAUACUGUUUAUAUUUAUAAUGAUGAGAAAGCGUAAACUUAUGCACACAGGUAGAUGGAGAAAUGCUUAGUUGAUAUAUGAAAUGAACAUAUGCGCAGACAUGUAUGUGUAUUACCUUUUGAGAAGUUGAGGGUGAAAGUCGGUUGAUCAGAUCCAAGGUAGUUGAUGUGAAAGACAAGUUCAUCCGGCAAGUCAUCUUUGGUCCUCCAGACAACCCAGCCAACACCUGCAUAUACAAGGCCGUACUUGUGACCACUGACAUUAAUGCUCUUCACCAGUGGCAAACGGAAAUCCCAUUCAAGGUCUGGAUAGAGAAAAGGAGCAAUAAAUCCGCCGCUAGCAGCAUCAACAUGAAUGGGGGUGUCCCAACCGGUCUCCUCAUUCUUUUUGGUGAGGAGGUCAUGAAGAAGCUUAACAUCCUCAAAUUCUCCCGUCAAGGUUGAUCCCAGAAUGGCUGCAACACAAAUGGUGUUCUCAUCUACCAACUCAACAGCUUUCACAGGAUUCAUCACAUAAUAUCCCUCUUCCAGUUUCACCUCCUUCAGCUCAACCUCAAAGUACCUCGCAA
rnacentral:lncRNA from 1 species